CUUAGCAGAGCCAGGAGUACCCACAUCUCCUGGCUUGCUGCUUUUGCCACAUGGCUGCUUCUUCAUUUUCGGCUGCCAGCAGAAGGUGUUCUUUACAAUUUGUUUAUAAAGAAUGGUAACUGACUUAUGAUAGAGUCAGAAAAAGUAAAAAUAGGUAGAAGUUUACUUUAGUUGUUAACCAGAUGAAUGCUUUCAUCCUGCAUUGGUGGGAACUGCAGCUGACAUGGGAGUGCUGAACUGCCAGCACCAAAGCCUGGGAGUGAUUUUCAGAGUGUGUGUUGAGUUCCCCUGUGCUGUUUGUAUGUACAAACAUACAUCAAGUGACACUGAAGUAUAGGGCUAUACAAACUUGCGUUGUUAUUCUGGGGUGCAGAUAAAUCCAAACUAUCCCAUUAUAUGUGGUCAGGUGAAACUCCUAGGCCUGUCCAUCCAAUAGAAGUUCUGUUAUUACUUUGGGUAAAGCCCACAUUUAACAUUGCCCAAACUAAACAAAGCUGAGAGCAGGUGACAAAGGAGGGGAGGCUGUGGGGAAAGGAAUGCUUGUUUGUUUCAGAGUGAUGUUUUUGACUGGCAAAGUGAUGUUGAAGCAAGAACUUUUGAAGAAAGUGCUUGAGACCACAAAAAAUAACAGCAGCUCAUUUUGUUGUUUUAUCACCAGUAAUGGGAAACAUUGAUUUGUGUUGGCAGUUCCAUGCAGCAAAACCUGCACAGGGGAUAACAAACGACAGAGCAGCUGCUUUAUUGUUUCAUUUAAUUCUGGCUAUAUUCUGUUUCUCAUGUUCAGACAGGUGAAGCAUAUAAAUUUUCUUAGAACUUUAGACGUACUUUAAAAAAAAAAAAAAAAAAUUGCAUGGGUUUCUUAUUUCUUUGUUGCCCGUAAGUAUUCUGUGUAAUAUCAGGUACUACUUAAGCUGCAUUCAUAAUCAGAAGAUGAUUUUUUCCCUAUCUAUCUAAAGGUUCUGAAAACUCAGGAAUCUGAUAAUCCAAUUGUAUUUUCCUAGUUCUCUGUGUGCCAUCACAGGCGAUAGUGACAGUGGAACUCCAAUGACAAUGUUUGCACAUUAUCCAGGAUAAGAUACAACUUGUGCUUCGAGCUGCACAGCCGCUACAGUGCUAACACUUGUAAAAACUUGUUUUUGUCAGCGGAUCUGGAGAAUAUGACUCAAAGACACACAGGAAGCAGCUUAGUUAAGGUGCCGUUUUUAUGUCAGUUUUUUGGCUAUCGCCACACACAGAAAACAAAAGAAAACAAUAUGAUUCAAAACAACAUCAUUAUGAUGAAGCAUUUCAAUUUUUUUUUCUUCUGAAUGCUAAAAGUUGCAGCAGUCACUAAAUCUCUGAACAGUACAUUGCACAUGCAUAGUAAAUACUAACUUUAACAUUGUGAUCAGAGCAAAAAUGAUGGAAUUGAUUAAAAAUGCUGGACGGAAUGUAAGGAUUAAUUUUAAGUUAUUCAAAUGUGUGAGGUUUCAGUCUUAAUUCUGCAAAAAGGAUUACAUAUGCAGAAUUGACUUAGGUAAUUAUAUUCCCCUCACCUCGCUUUAGAGGCUGAGGACUGGAAGACAUCAGCUGGUAGAGGCAAGUAGAGGAUCAGCUAAUGUAAUUGGUAGAGCUGCCUCAUCCUGCUCUGCAGCUAUGACAGAAUACACCACCUGGGAAUCUGCUGAAAUAUGAAAUCAUUUUCAUUUACACAAAAAUAUCAGUUUAGGCUGAUAAUUAUUAACCCUGAUGUCACUUGUGUUUCUUCAAGCCUUUACAAAAUGCAUUUUAAAAGCCACAGUAAUGUACCUAGUAUUAUUCCUCCUUAUUCUAAUAUCUUGUUGUUGUUAGGUGAUCAUUAUGGUCCUUUUCAACCCAGGUCAUCUCAUGAUUCCAUGAUUAUGUGAAAUUCUAAAAUAAUUCCAUGCAGUGAAUGGUUUUAAGAACCAUUUCAUCAUCAGGGUUACCUCUGAAACUGAUAUCAUUAUUUGUAUUUGUGUUUCAAAUUUUAAAUUCCAUAGAAUAUAUGAAAACUUAACAGUGUUUUAUGAUAGGAAGGAGAAAUGUGUGAUUUCAAUAAUGGUGAUGGAAAAGCUAUUGAUAGAAAAGUACUGUUUACUGUCUAUGAGCUGAAUCAAUAGUCCCUGCUCAUAUGAUGAGGCCCAAGUGCAACUCUGCAAGGCCAGGCUGACAUGUGGUUUUGACAGCAGAGAAAACAGUGGAAAGAGAAAAGAUCUUCCUUCUCAAUGUUGUAUCCAUGCUGUCAUGCCAACAUGGAAUGAGAUCCAAAAGGUGGGAUGAGAUUUAAUGUGUUAACUUCCUCUUUUCAUCCAUGCAGUUUUCACUUCCAAUCUUGCCUUUCCCCUCAGGGUCUUUGGGGACGGCAGGAUGGCUGUGGCAGUGCAACUGCUCAUUGUUUCUCAGGCAUGAGAGAGCUCAGGCACUGGGCUGUGAAUAUGAGAAAAUAGGAGUGAGCAGUAGUGGCUUCUGGAUUGCAAGCUUCGUGUAAUUCCUUACCUGUUGGGCCAGACAAGCGGUGCAUGGCAGAGCCAUGUAGCAUAAUGUGUGAGAGGUGAACCUUCAUGAUGGGAUUGCUGUUCAGUGCAUGAACUGCACUAUUUCCACCACUGUUUCCAUCUGCAUGGCUCGUGGGGUGUGGGGCAGAAUCACACUGCUCCUAGGAGCUGGGUGAGAGUGUUGUUCUGGUGGGUUGGCGCUGGGUCAGUGUUGUGAAAAGCGAAAUGAAAAUACCUCCUUAGCUUUCCAUAAACCUGAUGCCUUGCGGGCUAUGAAAGAAACACAAGGAGAAGCAGUCAGUUGGCAGCCAUGCUCUGAACUUGACCCUAUGUUUGAAGCUAGCCUAGGUGUUUUAUAACAACCUCUUCUAUUCCUGCUAGUGCAUAACCCCAGCAGGGCUGCAUCUUAAACACAGAUCCGUUCGGGUGCCUUGCCAUCUGAGUCAGGCACGUUACUGUUCCUCCUACACUGUUUCCUGUGUGGUUAAUACUGAAUCAAAGACUCCAUUCACAAUGAUGGGGAAAGAAUAGAUGACUCCAGCACACGUAAUAUUUUCAAGUGCAAAUUAAUAAUUGGUGUGCCUGAGUGUCAGCGGGAAGCAAUUGUUUGGUAGCGGGGAGAUGAAUCCCAGGCUUUUUGGGCACAGGUUAUCUAAAAAUGAACAAGCCCACGCUUGUUCAAAAAGGAACAUCUAAAAUUGUCGACAGGCUAGUGGAAAGUACGCAGCUCAGCUGAAGUUCCCAGGGCCCACAGUAAGCCCCAGGGGCUGGGUUUUGCCAAAGAGAUUUAAAUUCUGGAGGCUGUCAUUAAAACGAAUCCUAUUCAAUUCUCUAAGUGUUAGCAUGCACACUUUUCUCUGAUUCGUUGACACCUUAUCAGUCUGUUUCUGCCAUGGAUACCAGACAUGAGCAUGGUAUUCCAGCUGUAAUAAUGCAAAACCAAAAUACAGGUGUGAAAUAACUUAUUUUGCUGAUGCCACAGUUGAAGAACCCAUUUAGCCCUUUCAGAUACAGUAACUGAACUCUGGAAAUUCAUGUUACUGUGACUCACGUGCCCUUUCAAUAUCACUGACCUUCCCCUCCAUGCAGAGUCCCCCAUCUUGUAAGUACGCUUUCUUUUUCCUACAAGCAGAAUUUCUAACUUUGGCCAUAUUAAAAUGUGUGUCACUUACCUAAAAUUUUGCAAACAGUUUUGUUCUGCCUCAAUGCCAUCUUUUAAUUUUCAAUCCUUUCUCCAUUCUGGGGGCAGCUGCAAGGCUUAUUGGUCAAUCUUUCUGUUCCUUUAUGGCCCUUGAUACAGAUAUGCAUUGGUGCAAGCCAAGAACCAGAUGUGCUGGGCUAUAGUCCUGCAUUAUGUUUUUCUGCUGAUAAAAAGUUGCUACCUUGAAUGUUCAGAAAACACACGGCCUGGGGUGGGGAAAGGCUGGAGGGAGAAUAACUGAGAGAAAAAAACAGGUGGGGGUUGAGCAAAAGAUGGGGUGCAAGGACUGAGGUGUCAAAACAGAGCUGGGGGCUGCUGAGCAGACAAGGGGUCCCAGCACCCUUCUGGGACACUGCAGUGCUGCAAGGGCGAGCAGUUUGAUGCUUGAUGAAUGUCACUGUGGUUUCCAUAGCUCUGGUUUCUCAAUCAACAUGUUCUGCUGCAACAAGUUGAGGGCCUUAAAGGAGUCACGGUGUUUUUCAUCAGCUUUCUUAUCUUUAUCUCUCAAUCUUGCAUGCUCCUCUAAAUGAUAACAAGUCUGUUAGAAAGGGUCUCUUCCCAUAAAAUCCAGUUGAUUGGCAUUAAUUACAUUUCUCUCCCUUAAUUCUUUGUUAAUCGAGAUCCAUAUGAGUCAUUUCAUUAUAUUGCUGGGACUCGUGUCAGAGACAAGCCUCUAAAUAGUCAUAUCUUUCUUUUCCCCUUUGCUUUCCUUUGGAGCUUCCCCAGAGCCCAGAAAGUCACCAGUGGCUGCACACAUCUUCUGCCUUGCAUUGAUGUGUGAGGGAACACAUCUUUGAUAAUUACCUGACAAAGCCAAGCACAGCCUGCUACUUCUCCUGGGACGUGGCUGACCAACCUUCCCUGUCAGCAUCCAGAAGUACACCUCUCCCACAGGAGAAAUCUACCAUCUACCUCCACCUACCUCCCCUCUCUGCAGCAGAGCAUAACGAUGUGGAAAAAAAGGAAGAAGAGAGAAUCAAAUACCCAUGAAGAUGAGCAACCAGUAGUUGGAAUAUCAACCUUUUGUAGGAGUUUUUGAAUAAAGGAGAGAUUCCUCUCUCUGGAAGUCAGCAGAAUGAAAGGGACUUUGCAAAUUUUUGGAAAUUCAGCAAAUGUUUGUUCCUAUUUUCAAACAAUUUUGUUGAAAGCACUUUUGUUCAUCUACAAUAGCCGACGGAGUGGCUUCAGCCUCUCCAAGGCAGCGCUGGGAAUAGCGUGCCUCUUUGCAGUGCGUGGUGCUUGUGGGACAGCUGCAGUGGGGCUGGGGGUGGCUGGGGACAGCAGGAAAGGAAGAAACAUUUGGGACAGAAGGGAAGAUCUGACAGACAGGAAAAGCACACGGGUCUGAGGAAUGGGGAAAUGGCUGAUGGAAAAACACCCAAACACUGACCCUGAAGAAUUUUCCUUUUGAAUAACUUCAUUCCUCUCAUAAGAAGGAAUGAACCAAGAGCACCUACACAGGGUGUGACCCUUGAUAGUUUAACUCUGAGUUCUUAUUUUCUAAUGUUGACUGCCUUCAGCAUCCUUCAUCUGACCUGCCAGAGCACUGGUCCCCAGGGGAUGAUACUGAAGGACCAAGGCAUCUGCUGCAACCACCUGAGACCAAGCCUGAGCUCACCUGGGCCUAAGUCUGACUGCAGUCUGUGGAAAGGGGACGUUUGGAGGGCAUACAAGGGCCUGGGCUGCCAGCUUUUCAAAAGAGAACCAGAGAUAUUAAAAUCAACUUCUGAAGUAUUUGUUUCAAGGCGGUGAAAACAUGUUGUUGCCAUCCACUGGCUGCAUGUGUGUCAUAUACUGCCACGUCCUGUAAUUGCCAGUGGUUCCAUGUCCUCCAUGUUCCAUGUCCUCCGUGAAGAUGCAAUACAGACCCCAGUUCAGGGCAUUGGAAAUGCAUGCUCUGCAGAGAGCAGCACUGCUGAAAAAUGCUAUGUAAGAACCUAUAUACACACAUAAAUAUAUUUAUAUCCCUCUGCGUGCGUACAUAACCUUGCUGUCUUUGCUAUAGACCCUCCUGCUACCUGCAAGUAUCACAUGCAUACCCCUUGGGAGCCCAUGGGGGCUGUACUGUAUAACAGAGGGGGAUUUAUCACCUUCUCUAAUACCUAAGGAAAAGUCUAAUACUAUUUUGUAAAGUACCGCACUGUUUUUGGGCUCAGCUCUAUUGCUUUUAAUAUUUUAUACAUGUGAAUAUGAUGUACUGCAAUGAAAAUACCCUUACAUCUUUUUCCAGUAAGUGCAUCUAUCAAAACAAGGAGCGAUGUCAAAUGAUAGAGAGGAGCUCUGGGUCUGGAAGGCACAAGAAAAUGCAUAAAAGAUGAAGCUCUAUUUAUGUUGCUCGUGCAUGCAAAAAAAAGAAAAAGAAAGGAGAAAAAGAAAAACCCAACAACCCUCCUACGUUAAAGCUCUCAAAGCUACAAAGUAAAUCAGCCAGCAUGUGGCUUCUGUGCUUGUGCAUUAGGAUCUAGGCUUUAAUUACAGAUCCCAUUGCCUUUGCAGAGAAAUCCCCUUUGUUUAGCUACUGGAGCUGGUAAGGCUGAGGAAGAGUGAGGGUGCAGGGGACUUGUUCCUGGGGCACAGGAACGCUUUUGGACCCAAAUCUUGCCUUAUUUCUGUUCCCCAGCUAUACCGCCUCGUGUCAUCAUAGCUGGGCUUAAUCCAACAGCAGCCAUGAAGUCCUGUGACACUGAAGCCAGAGGGAAGUUUGUGUGACCAGCUGUAACCACAGGGCAGAGCUGGCACGUUGGGCAGCUUGGAGAACAGAGAACGGAAAAUCACAGCACUGUUCAUGGGGAUGUGCUGGUGGUGCUGAGCUGAAGCCGGUGUCUCUACUAGGAGCAAUAUGCAUGCAUUAGCACAAUGGAGUGGGCUAAUUUACCCUAAGCUCAGCAGUUAAACUGCUUUAGGGCUCACAGAGGGCUACUUCAGGUCUCUCUUCAAGCCAGAUUUUUGCUUAGCAGUUAUUCUGCAGGUGGGCGCCAUCCAUUUUGUGCUCAGUGAGGAGCCAGGGUAGGGAGCCUUGGGGAAAUAAUGAAAUGAGAAACAUGCAGAGGCAGCCUUCCUCCUGCAUUUCCUAACUUCAGAGUGGCUGACUUGGUAACCUCAGUCUUCUUGAGGCCACUUGCAUGCGUGGGCACUGCUGGGCUACAGGGAAACAAACAACAUUAGGGAUUUGUCCAG